UAACCAGUGUGAUGAGUGUAGAGGUGUGUGUGGUUAUAACCAGUGUGAUGAGUGUAGAGGUGUGUGUGUGUAGUUAUAACCAGUGUGAUGAGUGUAGAGGUGUGUGUGGUUAUAACCAGCCAGUGUGAUGAGUGUAGAGGUGUGUGUGUGUGUAGUUAUAACUAACCAGUGUGAUGAGUG